UACAGAGGUCCCAAGCGUUGUUCGGAUUCAUUGGGCGUAAAGGGUGCGUAGGCGGCGCGGUAAGUCGGGUGUGAAAUCUCGGAGCUUAACUCCGAAACUGCAUUCGAUACUGCCGUGCUUGAGGACUGGAGAGGAGACUGGAAUUUACGGUGUAGCGGUGAAAUGCGUAGAUAUCAGGAGGAACACCCGUAGCGAAGGCGGCACUCUGGGCCGAUUCUGACACUGAGGAGCGAA
rnacentral:rRNA from 1 species